AUUGAACGCUGGCGGCAGGCCUAACACAUGCAAGUCGAGCGGAUGAAGGGAGCUUGCUCCUGGAUUCAGCGGCGGACGGGUGAGUAAUGCCUAGGAAUCUGCCUGGUAGUGGGGGAUAACGUCCGGAAACGGGCGCUAAUACCGCAUACGUCCUGAGGGAGAAAGUGGGGGAUCUUCGGACCUCACGCUAUCAGAUGAGCCUAGGUCGGAUUAGCUAGUUGGUGGGGUAAAGGCCUACCAAGGCGACGAUCCGUAACUGGUCUGAUAGGAUGAUCAGUCACACUGGAACUGAGACACGGUCCAGGCUCCUGCGGGAGGCAGCAGUGUGGAAUAUUGGACAGUGGGCGAAAGCCUGAUCCAGCCAUGCCGCGUGUGUGGAGAAGGUCUUCGGAUUGUAAAGCACUUUAAGUUGUGAGGAAGGGCAGUAAGUUAAUACCUUGCUGUUUUGACGUUACCAACAGAAUAAGCACCGGCUAACUUCGUG
rnacentral:rRNA from 1 species